rnacentral:rRNA from 1 species
UACGUAGGGUGCGAGCGUUAAUCGGAAUUACUGGGCGUAAAGCGUGCGCAGGCGGUUUUGUAAGCCAGGUGGGAAAUCCCCGGGCUCAACCUGGGAAUGGCAUUUGGGACUGCAAGGCUGGAGUGCGGCAGAGGAGACUGGAAUUCCUGGUGUAGCAGUGAAAUGCGUAGAUAUCAGGAGGAAUACCGAUGGCGAAGGCAGGUCUCUGGGCCAUUACUGACACUGAGAAGCGAAAGCAUGGGGAGCGAACAGG